AUUGAACGCUGGCGGCAGGCCUAACACAUGCAAGUCGAGCGAGUGGCGGACGGGUGAGUAAUGUAUGGGGAACUGCCUGAUAGAGGGGGAUAACUACUGGAAACGGUGGCUAAUACCGCAUACUAUCAGAUGAACCCAUAUGGGAUUAGCUAGUAGGUGGGGUAAAGGCUCACCCAGGCGACGAUCGCUAGCUGGUCUGAGAGGAUGACCAGCCACACUGGAACUGAGACACGGCCCAGACUCCUACGUGAGGCAGCAGUGGGGAAUAUUGCACAAUGGGCGCAAGCCUGAUGCAGCCAUGCCGCGUGUAUGAAGAAGGCCUUCGGGUUGUAAAGUACUUUCAGCGGGGAGGCGUUACCCGCAGAAGAAGCACCGGCUAACUCCGUGCCAGCAGCCGCGGUAAUUC
rnacentral:rRNA from 1 species